rnacentral:rRNA from 1 species
UACGUAGGGGGCUAGCGUUGUCCGGAAUCAUUGGGCGUAAAGAGCGUGUAGGCGGCCCGGUAAGUCCGCUGUGAAAGUCGGGGGCUCAACCCUCGGAUGCCGGUGGAUACUGUCGGGCUCGAGUACGGAAGGGGCGAGUGGAAUUCCUGGUGUAGCGGUGAAAUGCGCAGAUAUCAGGAGGAACACCUAUUGCGAAGGCAGCUCGCUGGGACGUUACUGACGCUGAGACGCGAAAGCGUGGGGAGCAAACAGG